rnacentral:rRNA from 1 species
UGAGGUGCUGGAGUACCGGAGAGGCAAGUGGAAUUCCCAGUGUAGCGGUGAAAUGCGUAGAUAUUGGGAAGAACAUCGGUGGCGAAGGCGACUUGCUGGACGGUAACUGACGCUGAGGUGCGAAAGCCAGGGUAGCGAACGGGAUUAGAUACCCCGGCAGUCCUGGCCGUAAACGAUGAAUGCUAGGUGUGCGAGCAGAGAUGUUGGUGUGCCGCAGUUAACGCGAUAAGCAUUCCGCCUGGGGAGUACGGUCGCAAGAUUGAAACUCAAAGGAAUUGACGGGGGCCCGCACAAGAAGGGCGA